CCCGCGUUGGAUUAGCUAGUUGGUGGGGUAAAGGCCUACCAAGGCGACGAUCCAUAGCUGGUCUGAGAGGAUGAUCAGCCACAUUGGGACUGAGCCACGAUCAAACUCUAUACGGGAGGCAGCAGUGGGGAAUAUUGGACAAUGGGCGCAAGCCUGAUCCAGCCAUGCCGCGUGAGUGAUGAAGGCCUUAGGGUUGUAAAGCUCUUUCACCGAUGAAGAUAAUGACGGUAGUCGGAGAAGAAGCCCCGGCUAACUUCGUGCCAGCAGCCGCGGUAAUACGAAGGGGGCUAGCGUUGUUCGGAAUUACUGGGCGUAAAGCGCACGUAGGCGGAUAUUUAAGUCAGGGGUGAAAUCCCGCAGCUCAACUGCGGAACUGCCUUUGAUACUGGGUAUCUUGAGUA
rnacentral:rRNA from 1 species